rnacentral:rRNA from 1 species
AUGUUGUGCUACAGGCUGGGCGACCAUCUCUAUAAGUACGACACCAACAAAAACAAGAAUAAGAAGCAACAAGGGACUUGUGCAUGGGACCACCAAAUACGGUUGUCGGCUACUCCAUCACCGGAAGAUGACCAACGUUGGAAAGUAUACGGUGGUUACCGUCCCAGCCUACUCUCGCCUCAUCUUGCCUUUCCAUUUGAGUCCGAGUCCUCCAUUCAACACCAAAACUCACGACAACACUAUAAGCACGCCUUGUUAAAUGUUAUGCAAUGCCAAAAACCAUCGAAGAAACAUCACUUUACGUGCACACACAAUGGCGCGGAUGGCACAGACGACCAUCAUGUUGUCAAGAGGGUUCAUGGGCCAACACGGUAA